rnacentral:rRNA from 2 species
AAUCCAUAGGUUAAUGAGGCGAACCGGGGGAACUGAAACAUCUAAGUACCCCGAGGAAAAGAAAUCAACCGAGAUUCCCCCAGUAGCGGCGAGCGAACGGGGAGGAGCCCAGAGCCUGAAUCAGCAUGUGUGUUAGUGGAAGCGUCUGGAAAGGCGCGCGAUACAGGGUGACAGCCCCGUACACAAAAGCGCAUGUGCUGUGAGCUCGAUGAGUAGGGCGGGACACGUGGUAUCCUGUCUGAAUAUGGGGGGACCAUCCUCCAAGGCUAAAUACUCCUGACUGACCGAUAGUGAACCAGUACCGUGAGGGAAAGGCGAAAAGAACCCCGGCGAGGGGAGUGAAAAAGAACCUGAAACCGUGUACGUACAAGCAGUGGGAGCCCCACCACCAAAGCAUUUGCUGUACCGCGUUGACGGAGCGAAGCGACGUCAAACCGAUAAAACAGCAGUGUAAAGUGAGCCG